ACGGGCACAUCACGUUUAAAAACCUGUUCUCGUGCGAUCAACGAAGUUAAGCAACGUCUAGCUUGAUAAGUACCUAGAUGGGUGACCGCUUGGGAAUACCAGGU